CAUGGAGCUCAUGCCAAAUAUCCUUUCGGGGACAGCGCAGGGAUGGACCUAUGGCGCAUUAGCUAGUUGGCGGGGCAACGGCCCACCAAGGCAACGAUGCGUAGCCGGCCUGAGAGGGCGGACGGCCACAUUGGGACUGAGACACGGCCCAGACUCCUACGGGAGGCAGCAGUAGGGAAUUUUCGGCAAUGGGGGAAACCCUGACCGAGCAACGCCGCGUGAGCGAAGAAGGCCUUCGGGUCGUAAAGCUCUGUUGUAAAGGAAGAACGGCGCAUACAGGAAAUGGUAUGCGAGUGACGGUACUUUACCAGAAAGCCACGGCUAACUACGUGCCAGCAGCCGCGGUAAUACGUAGGUGGCGAGCGUUAUCCGGAAUCAUUGGGCGUAAAGAGGGAGCAGGCGGCCGCAAGGGUCUGUGGUGAAAGACCGAAGCUAAACUUCGGUAAGCCAUGGAAACCGGGCGGCUAGAGUGCGGAAGAGGAUCGUGGAAUUCCAUGUGUAGCGGUGAAAUGCGUAGAUAUAUGGAGGAACACCAGUGGCGAAGGCGACGGUCUGGGCCGCAACUGACGCUCAUUCCCGAAAGCGUGGGGAGCAAAUAGGAUUAGAUACCCUAGUAGUCCACGC
rnacentral:rRNA from 1 species